GAACAAAAUUGUAGGUUUUCUGGGCUGAGUGAUUCGGAUCUAUUCAUCACCUUUUUGAUCAAAUGCUACACUUACGCAUCAACGGCAAUUGAUGCUCCUGCAUCAAUUAGGUGUUCCAUGUAUUUGGUCUUGAUUGUUAAGGUAUUAGAGGCAAUGAUGAUUAAAUGGUUCUUCCUUGAACAAUGCUGAUUUUGGAGGCUACCUUACUUAUUAAGAUGGACAUUGCUUUAAGACCACCCGCGAGGCUUGGAGUUGAUGCAUGCUAUUGUCCUUAGCUGAAAUAUGAGCAACAGGUAUAUGAUCUACCCAUCUGAUUAUGGAUACCAACAAGUUUUGCUACUUUACCAUUUCAUGUCUAUUUUUCUGUCUCAGAAAUGAUUCGACACCACCUUCUACUAAACUAGGCCUAAUGAUCCUCAUGAAGGCAAAGUUGCUCUCUGCGAGUGGCCAAGCUAAUUCAGUUAAAUCCUAGGAUGUUAUUGAUAUGGUGCUCCCAAAGCUCACAAAAAUAGCAGAAACAUUAUUUUGAUUUUUUAGCCACUAUGCAAUCAUAGCUUUCGAAAGGCUCAAGUGCAUAGGCUUCAUCUUAUUAUGAAAUAAGAGGUUUUAUGAUUUCAUUCUCGAGGUUAUCAAAUGUGUCGAAGAUUAAACCGGAAGCUCUUGAACAAAUCUUAGCUAAUUUAUUUUCCGUUCUUAGUGAGACGUCGCGAGGAUCUGUUGUUCUGAUAAAUGAAGGAAGAUGUUUGAGGCAGAUGCUUUUCUUUCCAGGGAUCCAGUCUAUGCAAGUGUCCAGGUAACCACUAUCAAAUUCUCAGCCAAUUGCGGGAGAUGAGAUCAGUGCAGAUAUGGAAUUAUCAUGUGCAUUAAAGCUUUGAUUCAACAGCUAUAGUAAUUAAGCACUCCAAUUAAACAACAACUAUAGUAAUUAAGCACUCCAAUUGUUCAAUCAUCAUUU